GACAGAGGGUGCAAACGUUGUUCGGAAUUACUGGGCGUAAAGCGCGUGUAGGCGGCCCUGCAAGUCGGAUGUGAAAUCCCACGGCUCAACCAUGGAGGUGCAUUCGAAACUGCAGAGCUAGAGUCCUGGAGAGGAAGGUGGAAUGCUUGGUGUAGAGGUGAAAUUCGUAGAUAUCAAGCGGAACACCGGUGGCGAAGGCGGCCUUCUGGACAGUGACUGACGCUGAGACGCGAAAGCGUGGGGAGCAAACAGG
rnacentral:rRNA from 1 species